rnacentral:rRNA from 1 species
GACUUGUGUGUGCUUGCAAUUAGCGGUCAGUUCCCAAAAGGGUUCUCCGACAUGCGUUGCAGGUGCCGUCAAACCUUCAACUGAAUCGCAUCUGGACUUCAUUGUCUGGGUGCUGUCAUUCGGUUGAUCAUUUACUGUGAGAAAAUUAGAGUGUUCAAGGCAGGCAUUAUUGCAAUUGAAUAUGUUAGCAUGGAAUAAUAAGAUAAGGCUUUCGGCUUAUUUUGUUGGUUUCUAGAUCGGAAGUAAUGAUUGAUAGGGAUAGUUGGGGGUGCUAGUAUUCAACGGCCAGAGGUGAAAUUCAUGGAUUCGUUGAAGACUAACUUAUGCGAAAGCAUU